rnacentral:rRNA from 1 species
UACGUAGGGUGCGAGCGUUGUCCGGAAUUAUUGGGCGUAAAGAGCUCGUAGGCGGUUUGUCGCGUCGACUGUGAAAACUGGGGGCUUAACUCUCAGCUUGCAGUUGAUACGGGCAGACUUGAGUUCGGUAGGGGAGACUGGAAUUCCUGGUGUAGCGGUGAAAUGCGCAGAUAUCGGGAAGAACACCCGUGGCGAAGGCGGUUCUCUGGGACGGUACUGACGCUGAGACGCGAAAGCGUGGGGAGCGAACAGG